GUACGAAGGGGGCUAGCGUUGCUCGGAAUUACUGGGCGUAAAGGGCGCGUAGGCGGAUCAUUAAGUCAGAGGUGAAAUCCCAGGGCUCAACCCUGGAACUGCCUUUGAUACUGGCGAUCUUGAGUAUGAGAGAGGUAUGUGGAACUCCGAGUGUAGAGGUGAAAUUCGUAGAUAUUCGGAAGAACACCAGUGGCGAAGGCGACAUACUGGCUCAUUACUGACGCUGAGGCGCGAAAGCGUGGGGAGCAAACAGGAUUAGAUACCCUGGUAGUCCACGCCGUAAACGAUGAUUGCUAGUUGUCGGGCUGCAUGCAGUUCGGUGACGCAGCUAACGCAUUAAGCAAUCCGCCUGGGGAGUACGGUCGCAAGAUUAAA
rnacentral:rRNA from 1 species